GUCAAUUUCUUAUGAAAGCCAGUUUGAUGACAUUGAAAGUGAAAGCGACAGUUUUAUGGAUGCACUUAACACCAUUGAGUCAGAGUCUGAAACUGAUUUGGAUUGCCAAAGAAAACGAGCAAUGGAGCUGGAGUCUAGUUUGAAGACUGAAUCAUCCUUGAAUGGAACCCAUGUAAAUAGUGCAGAACUUUCUGAUCGGAAUUUGUCUACUCCUAUACCCGAGGCUGCAGCCAGA
rnacentral:misc_RNA from 1 species